rnacentral:tRNA from 1 species
UGCGGGAUAGAGCAGAUGGCAGCUCGUUGGUCUCAUAAGCUAAAGAUACUGGGUUCGACUCCCAGAUGCGCAA